rnacentral:rRNA from 1 species
UACGUAGGGGGCAAGCGUUGUCCGGAAUCAUUGGGCGUAAAGCGCGCGUAGGCGGCCCUGUAAGUCCGCUGUAAAAGUCAAAGGCUCAACCUUUGAAAGCCGGUGGAUACUGCAGGGCUAGAGUCCGGAAGAGGCGAGUGGAAUUCCCGGUGUAGCGGUGAAAUGCGUAGAGAUCGGGAGGAAUACCGGUGGCGAAAGCGACUCUCUGGACGGCAACUGACGCUGAGGCACGAAAGCGUGGGGAGCAAACAGG